rnacentral:rRNA from 1 species
UACGGAGGAUGCAAGCGUUAUCCGGAAUGAUUGGGCGUAAAGCGUCCGCAGGUGGCUGUGUAAGUCUGCUGUUAAAUAGUGAGGCUCAACCUCAUAAAGGCAGUGGAAACUACACGGCUAGAGUGCGUUCGGGGCAGAGGGAAUUCCUGGUGUAGCGGUGAAAUGCGCAGAUAUCAGGAGGAACACCGAUGGCGAAGGCAGCUUACUGGGCCGAUACUGACGCUGAGGAGCGAAAGCGUGGGGAGCAAACAGG